UAAGGAAUAUUGCGCAAUGGGCGACAGCCUGACGCAGCGACGCCGCGUGGGGGAUGAAGGUCUUCGGAUUGUAAACCCCUUUCGGCAGGGAAGAUGGAACGGGUAACCGUUCGGACGGUACCUGCAGAAGCAGCCACGGCUAACUUCGUGCCAGCAGCCGCGGUAAUACGAAGGUGGCAAGCGUUGUUCGGAUUUACUGGGCGUACAGGGAGCGUAGGCGGUUGGGUAAGCCCUUCGUGAAAUCUCCGGGCCUAACCCGGAAAGUGCGGAGGGGACUGCUCGGCUAGAGGAUGGGAGAGGAGCGCGGAAUUCCCGGUGUAGCGGUGAAAUGCGUAGAGAUCGGGAGGAAGGCCGGUGGCGAAGGCGGCGCUCUGGAACAUUUCUGACGCUGAGGCUCGAAAGCGUGGGGAGCAAACAGGAUUAGAUACCCUGGUAGUCCACGCCUUAAACGAUGGAUACUAAGUGUCGGCGGGUUACCGCCGGUGCCGCAGCUAACGCAGUAAGUAUCCCGCCUGGGAAGUACGGCCGCAAGGUUGA
rnacentral:rRNA from 1 species